UACGUAGGCAGCAAGCGUUGUUCGGAGUUACUGGGCGUAAAGGGUGUGUAGGCGGUUGUUUAAGUUUGGUGUGAAAUCUCCCGGCUCAACUGGGAGGGUGCGCCGAAUACUGAAUGACUCGAGUGCGGGAGAGGUGAGUGGAAUUCCUGGUGUAGCGGUGAAAUGCGUAGAUAUCAGGAGGAACACCGGUGGUGUAGACGGCUCACUGGACCGUAACUGACGCUGAAACACGAAAGCGUGGGUAGCAAACAGG
rnacentral:rRNA from 1 species